UCGGAUAUGGUGUAACGGCUAACAUUAGCGCCUCUCAUGAACCAUCAGGUCGUUCAUUCUCCGCGGCAGUGCGCGCUAGCUCGGGGUUCGAUUCCCCGUAUCCGAA